UAUUAUUAUGGCUUUUUUAGGAGAAUCCGACUACUUUGGGCGGAAAAAGUCCGGAACAUGUGCAAAAGGUUGCAAAGCUCGCCAAGAAACUGUUUCAUGGGCUAAAGGUACUACUUACAGGAAAUAACCAGACACCGGAUUUUUCGGCAGGGUACAUAUUAAU